AUGAAAAAAAACUUUGAAAAGAGAGUUAAAUAGUACGUGAAAUUGUUGAAAGGGAAGCACUUAUGACCAGACUUGGCCCCGGUGAAUCAUCCAGCGGUUCCCGCUGGUGCACUUUGCCGGGGUUCAGGCCAGCAUCAGUUCGCUCCGGGGGAUAAAGGCUUUGGGAAUGUGGCUCCCUCGGGAGUGUUAUAGCCCAUUGCGUAAUACCCUGUGGCGGGCUGAGGUUCGCGCUUUAUGCAAGGAUGCUGGCAUAAUGGUCAUCAGUGACCCGUCUUGAAACACGGACCAAGGAGUCGUCUUCGUAUGCGAGUGUUCGGGUGUUAAACCCCUACGCGUAAUGAAAGUGAACGCAGGUGAGAGCCCUUCAGGGCGCAUCAUCGACCGAUCCUGAUGUUCUCGGAUGGAUUUGAGUAAGAGCAUACGGGGCCGGACCCGAAAGAAGGUGAACUAUGCCUGUAUAGGGUGAAGCCAGAGGAAACUCUGGUGGAGGCUCGCAGCGGUUCUGACGUGCAAAUCGAUCGUCAAAUAUGGGCAUGGGGGCGAAAGACUAAUCGAACCUUCUAGUAGCUGGUUUCCGCCGAAGUUUCCCCUCAGGAUA
rnacentral:rRNA from 1 species